AUGCUGAGCUCCCUGAUGAAGCGGACGAGCCGCUCCAACUCGGAUGACGACGACCCCACCUCCGCGACAUCCAGCCUCAACUGCUGCACCAUAGCUUGGGCCACCCCUCUGAUCUCGUCGAACUCCAUGGCCUCCCUCGUCGUCCUCUCAACGACGCCUCUGUCGCAGACGUCCUUCACGUCCAGCCCCGUCCUCCACACGACGCCCACGAAGCGGCUAAUGAUCUGCUGGUCAGAAAAGGGCCAGCACACCAUUGGCACGCCUUCCAUGGCGCACUCCAGCGUCGAGUUCCAUCCGGCAUGUGUCAGGAAGCAGCCCACCGCUCGGUGCCACAGCACGUCCCGCUGA
rnacentral:rRNA from 1 species